AAGGUUUUCGGAGCUGUAAACUCUGUUGUUAGGGAAGAACGAUGUACCUGUUCGAAUAGGGCGGAUCCUUGACGGUACCUAACCAGAAAGCCCCGGCUAACUACGUGCCAGCAGCCGCGGUAAUACGUAGGUGGCAAGCGUUGUCCGGAAUUAUUGGGCGUAAAGCGCGCGCAGGCGGUUUCUUAAGUCUGAUGUGAAAGCCCCCGGCUCAACCGGGGAGGGUCAUUGGAAACUGGGGAACUUGAGUGCGGAAGAGGAGAGUGGAAUUCCACGUGUAGCGGUGAAAUGCGUAAAGAUGUGGAGGAACACCAGUGGCGAAGGCGACUCUCUGGUCUGUAACUGACGCUUAGGCGCGAAAGCGUGGGGAGCGAACAGGAUUAGAUACCCUGGUAGUCCACGGCGUAAACGAUGAGUGCUAAGUGUUAGAGGGUUUCCGCCCUUUAGUGCUGCAGCUAACGCAUUAAGCACUCCGCCUGGGGAGUACGGUCGCAAGACUGAAACUCAAUGAAUUGACGGGGGCCCGCACAAGCGGUGGAGCAUGUGGUUUAAUUCGAAGCAACGCGAAGAACCUUACCAGGUCUUGACAUCCUCUGACAACCCUAGAGAUAGGGCUUCCCCUUCGGGGGCAGAGAGACAGGUGGUGCAUG
rnacentral:rRNA from 1 species